UGGACAAGCCCGCCCCCCGAGGAGGAACACGGCCUUGGAUCUGGGCAGCCGCCUGCCGUCCCCUUCGCUGGCGCCUCUGGUCGACAGUUUUGGUGACCACAAAGGGACCCAGAGCAGACUUCUCCUUCCCCUGAGCUCUACAAGGAGCUGGAGCCUUGGUAAAAGCAGUGGCCCUUUGUGCCCACCCGUCUCCUCGGGGAGUCUAGAUGAAUUUGGUGCCUUUGGUGAGAGAUAAGAGGAUGUUUCUGGGCAGGUCCUCCUCUGCCCCUGGCAGGGAUUCAGCAAGAACCCUGCCAGAUUCACCAUGACUGUGGAUGGAACUGCUCUCCAGCAGAGAAAGUAACAAUUAUUCAUGAUUAAAAUUACUUGUCAAAAUA